rnacentral:lncRNA from 1 species
UCUUCUUUUCCCUUACUUUGUUGGCACAAAAUAGAUAGUAUUCCUGAGUCCAUUACACUUUCCAGAAACUUCCUGCUGCUCUCUGAGAGCGGUUGCCAUGAUUCUACCUUAGCACUGGAUAGCUUCACCUUUUUUGAAUGACCUUUUUCUCCUGCAGAGGAAGAAUCCUCAUGUUCCUCAUCUUCCCUUCUGACUGCCUGAGUGACAAGCUUUCUUUUCUGUUCACGUUUAUCUCCUUUGCCCGCCGUUCCCCUUUUCUGGCUGGUAGGUCCUUGCUGGUUGUGUGACUUGGUGGGUCUUUUCACUCUCCCCCCAUCGGCGGUCUCUCCCCUUUUACCAGAAGAUGCACGGUGGCGCUUCAUGGUCACCCCACCGCCUGCUCAACGAUCCCACUGCCACCGAUCCGCGUCAGUCCGCAGAGCCGUUAGCAAACUGUAUCGCGCGCGCAACCCGGCGCAUGCGCAUUGGCAGCCACCGCCC